rnacentral:rRNA from 1 species
GAUGGUGAAAUUUUGUUGAUAAGGUGAAAUUUUUAAUUAGAAGGAAAUUCUUAAGAAAUCUUGUUGGAAUUAAAAAAUUUAGGUAAAAAACCAGGAUUAGAUACCCUGUUAUUCUAAAUUAUAAUGUAGAUAGGGUAGUAAAAGUUGUUCUUCAAACCCAAAGAUUUUGGCGGCAUCUUAUCCUAAUAGAGGAGCUUGUUCUAUAAUUGAUAGUCCUCAUUUUAUCUUACCCUCUUUUGUUAAGCUUGUAUACCGCCGUUGUCAGAUUACUUUAGAAGAAUGUUUUCAAGAAAAAUAUUUUUUUCACUUCAGGUCAAGGUGCAGUUUAUAAGAGGGCAGCAAUGAGCUACAAUUUUUAAUAGAAAUACGAAUUUUAGGUUUGAAAUCCGGGGAAAGGUGGAUUUAUUAGUAAAUUUACUUAAGUAUAGUAAGUUGAAUUGGGCAAUGGGAUGUGUACAUAUCGCCCGUCACUCUCUUCUCAAGAGGAGAUAA